AUUGAACGCUGGCGGAAUGCUUUACACAUGCAAGUCGAACGGCAGCACGGACUUCGGUCUGGUGGCGAGUGGCGAACGGGUGAGUAAUGUAUCGGAACGUACCCAGUCGUGGGGGAUAACGUAGUGAAAAUUACGCUAAUACCGCAUACGAUCUAUGGAUGAAAGCGGGGGAUCGCAAGACCUCGCGCGAUUGGAGCGGCCGAUAUCAGAUUAGGUAGUUGGUGGGGUAAAGGCCCACCAAGCCAACGAUCUGUAGCUGGUCUGAGAGGACGACCAGCCACACUGGAACUGAGACACGGUCCAGACGCCUACGGGAGGCAGCAGUGGGGAAUUUUGGACAAUGGGCGAAAGCCUGAUCCAGCCAUUCCGCGUGCAGGAUGAAGGCCCUCGGGUUGUAAACUGCUUUUGUACAGAACGAAAAAGUUUCUACUAAUACUAGGAGCUCAUGACGGUACUGUAAGAAUAAGCACCGGCUAACUACGUGCCAGCAGCCGCCGUAA
rnacentral:rRNA from 1 species